CGUGUAGGCGGAUAUAUAAGACAGAUGUGAAAUCCCCGGGCUCAACCUGGGAACUGCAUUUGUGACUGUAUAGCUAGAGUACGGCAGAGGGGGAGUGGAAUUCCGCGUGUAGCAGUGAAAUGCGUAGAUAUGCGGAGGAACACCGAUGGCGAAGGCAAUCCCCUGGGCCUGUACUGACGCUCAUGCACGAAAGCGUGGGGAGCAAACA
rnacentral:rRNA from 1 species